rnacentral:lncRNA from 1 species
CUUCAAAACACUGGACCUGGGCAGAUAUCAACCCUCUAAGAGUUGGGGAAGAGCUACAAGGUCACUGAGGUAAUGCAAAAGUUCCUGCCCUCAGCAAUGACGGGGAAUGGAGAAUGGCUAGAAGAUGGAGUGUCUUGAAAGGUUUAUGCCCUUAGAGGACAAUACAAGGGAUGAGUAGGAGAGACCCUGCUUGUCAUUGCUAGACCACCUGGGACUCUUCUUCACUGGCAUGGCCACCUGCAACUGCUUCCAGAACCUGCCCUGAGGAUACUUGGAUUUCUCUCCUUUCCAUUUAAUGACCGUGAGCACCGUCUUAGCCCGCUUCAGCUCUUUCACCUUCAUGUCCUUCACAGCUUUGUACUGCACUAAAAUGACGUUGAUGUUGCCCCGGGAGGCCAUAUUUUCUAGGCCAGCCUUGAGCUCCAGGAGGGCUUGUGUUCCCUGGAGCACGUAGUUGGGACUUAGGACAACCAGGAGUCGUCUGCUUUUCUGAAUGAAGCUCAGGGUCUCAUCUGUGACAACUGGGAAAGAAAACACCAUGGGGAUUAGUGUUGGCCAAGAACUACCUGAUUCAAAGAGGUGAAGGAUGGAAGAUAGGGAACUUGGAACGACAGCCUGGGAAACAAGGCUGAAACAGCUUUAUCAGCAACAGUCCUAGUAACUUUCUCUUUAACCACACUGUUCCUGGAAUGUCACUCUGAUGAGGAAAAAAAAAUGGAGUCAUAUAUAAAUGCCCAACUCUCCAAAUGUUUCCAAAUGACUAAAACUAAAAUAUGGUGGAAUAUGAUGGGCUGCUGUUACCCAGUUCCUCAAAGGCCCUAUUUGAACCAGAUGGAAUAGAUAUAUUGUAGUGACAUCACUUUCUUCAAAUAGUGUUGCAGCUCAGACAAAGAGGCUCCUGAAAGAAAAUACUAUCUUCUAUGAAACGUCUUCACACAAAUAUGAACUUCAGAGUCAAAGCCCCCAAGUUGCAGCUGCAGCUAACCAAGGACAACACCAGGGAAUGCCAAAUUUGAGUCUGUCUCUCUGUCUCUCUCUCUCUGUCUCUCCCUCUCCCCCUCCCUCCCUCUCUCUCUUUCUCUGCUGAUGUGUACUUUCCUGAUGCCAACUGAUGUCACUGUUGCUAGAUUAGUAACUCAAGCAAAUGGCAUCUUGGCAAGCAGUGUAUUCCCCCAUCAGCUCUUUAGUUUUCUCUGUUGUGGAGAUGAAAUAAAACAUGCAUAUUUCUCUUUAACCUCUGGUUAUCACUGGACAGCCCAUCGUCAGCUACUGCUAGGUGAUGUGUUUUGCAUUUACUAACUUUGAAUUACUUUCUCCAAGUUGGGAAAAAAAAUAGUGCGGAAAAUGGAAAUACAGCCUAAUUUUAUUCAAGGGCUCUGAUUAAUUCCUGUCACUAAAUUCUUGGGACAAAUCUAUCACCUCACAGAUGCAGAGGGAGACCCGCAUAAUCCUUCACCCAGAGGAGAGACACUCACUAGCUCCAGGCAGUGUAGUGGUGUAGUGGAAACACAUAUCACACUCCACCCGUGCUCAGCAGUCAUUUCCAUUCUUAGUCUUUACAGUUGCAGAAGUAAUGGGGAAAGACUUGCCAAUUAAAAUCUAACAUGUGCAACUCAGGGGAGAAUUCAGGGAUGGGUAGGUGUUUACUCUAAGCAUUUCCACUGGUGGCUGACCAUGUAUAAGCACAGAAAGAAGUCCAAAGGCAAAGUGGCCUCGGGAAGAGCAGUAGAAAGGAUAUAAAGGGAAUACGCUCUGCAAGAUGCAAGAAUAAUUAUGCAUUCUUCAAAGGACUGUCAGAACCCCGAGGAAGGUCUUACCCAGAUAUAUACUGCAGAGUUUCUCAUCACUGUUCACAUAGUAGAUAGGGUAUUAUACAUUUUGUGGAGGAAUAAAUAGGAACAUGGAUGAGUUGGGCAAAUUAAGGAUUAAUGUGAGUGGAAUUUUGUCUUUAACCAUUUAAGCGAUCAUUCCAUGACAUAAUAACACUUAAAGAGAAUCAUCUGUGGAAUACAAUCACAGUCUUUGAGUGAUGACUGAUACACUAACUCAAAAUGAGAAGAAAACUGUGUCUAUCCCAGGUAUCAACUACCCACACAUUAAAAAUUAAAAAAAAUGUAUAAAGCAGUUAAUGUGAACAUAUUAUCAAGGGGGGAGGGGUGAAAACAAAACAAACAAACAAACAAAAAAGAUCAUUCCAUGCUCCAGACAGGAGGCAGUGCACUCAUUCUGAUCAGGAAAGGCUUAUGAGAGAUGGAGCAUGAUUGCUGAUGUGCUUGCUAAAAAUCUCACAAAUGAACCAUGACUUUGCUAUUAUUUGGACUUCAAAAGGGGAGGCAUUGGUUUUGCAAAAAAUACUCAGGAGUUAAAGCUUUUCCUUAUAAAACUUGCAAGAAUGCAACAGCCUUGCAUGUGUUAAGCUAAAACUCAAACAUACACACUGAGAGAAAGGGAGAGGCAGACCACGAAAGGCAGAUUUGAGUGGCACUAGCUUGCUGACACAGAUGAGAGAAAAUGCUGAGAAAGAACUCGGGACAUACUGUAUCAACAGGAAGAUGCUCUAUGCUUCCUGUUCAGCAACUCAGCUCCAUUUAAAAUGAGGAAACCUCGGUCUGUGUAAAGUAGCGUUUUCUAUACUGUCUGUUUUAAAAGAAAAUAUAAAAAGAAACCCUAAUGCGCAUCAGCCUGACACUUGCAGUGAGAUAGACUUCCUAAGGACUGGCACUUUUCUGACAAGGAACACUUCAAGAUUGCAAGGGAAUGUUUUUUAAGCCAUAAACGGAACAGUGUACACCUAUGUACCUCACACUGGGGCUGCUUCUCUAUAGAAGUCUCUAUUACUCGAAGGAAUUGUAUGUUCCAUACCCGAAUACCAACGCUGAGCUACAACCCAUGUGUGCACCAAAGCUCAGGAUUCACUGUCCUUUCAGGGAGGCACCAUUGCUGCUCAUCAGAAAUACCUACUUCCCCCAGGCAGGCUGUCUCUGUCGAAGAUGCACAGCUUGUAUCCAAACUCAUUCUCCAAAACUCCACGCAGCGUCAGCAGCACAAAUUCCUCUUCUUCCACAUUUCUUGCAUAGGAAACAUAAAUAUCAUACUCCUUUCCAUCUAGUAAAAGGAACACAUAGCCGAUGCAAAUUAGGAAAACGUCUCAAACUGUCCUUUUGUUUUCUUAAAUUUAACUUCUGGGUGUUGGACAUUUUCUUUCUUUUCCUUUCUCCUCUUCUACUUUUUCUCUUUCUUCCUUUCCUGUUUUAUUUAUUUUACUUUUUUGCGUUUUGUGAAUAAUAUGUAAUUUUCUAGUGCCGACAGUACUCAUGCCAAGUGGGCAUGGGAGUUCAAACUGCACCUGAUGUAUAUUCUACUCUCAUGUCAGGGAGCCGCCCCUGUAGCAAGCAGGUAAAGACUGCCUUAUGACUUAAGUGAACAGAGAUGAACAUCACAGGUGCUAGUGGCUAAUGUCAGGCAAGAAAUUUCUACUCAGUGUUCUAGAAAAAUACCUGCUAAUACAUUAGAACCUAAAUUGAGAAAGACAAUGAAACUGACCAAAU